UUAAGUGCAAUGAAAAGUGGCAGGAGUUGGCGUGUUUUAAGUGCCAUGAAAGCUGCUGUACUUCAGUGGUGACUGACAGUAUUGCAGCAUUGACUCAACCUCUCCAGUAUUUCUGUGUUUUGAAAGGAAAGUGUGACUUGGAAUUCGCGAAUUGUAAUUACAUUCAUAUUGCUCGUACUAAUUAUUGGAACACGAAUCAGGAUCAGUGUUUUGUAAUAAAACCUUUCGAUGUUUGUUUCACCCA